rnacentral:rRNA from 1 species
CCUACGGGAGGCAGCAGUGGGGGAUAUUGCACAAUGGGGGGAACUCUGAUGCAGCGACGCCGCGUGGGUGAAGAAGCGCCUCGGCGCGUAAAGCUCUGUCAGCAGGGAAGAAAAUGACGUUACCUGAGGAAGAAGCCCCGUCUAACUACGUGCCAGCAGCCGCGGUAAUACGUAGGGGGCAAGCGUUAUACGGAUUGACUGGGUGUAAAGGGGGCGCAGGCGGCGCUGCAAGCCAGGAGUGAAAGGCCGGGGCCCAACCCAGGGACUGCUCGUGGAACUGCGUGGCUGGAGUGCAGCAGGGGCAGGCGGAAUUCGUGGUGUAGCGGUGAAAUGCGUAGAUAUCAGGAGGAACACCGGUGGCGAAGGCGGCCUGCUGGACUGCAACUGACGUUGAGGCCCGAAAGCGUGGGGAGCAAACAGGAUUAGAUACCCUUGUAGUC